rnacentral:tRNA from 1 species
UAUUUUGUAGUUUAAAGAGAACGUCUUAUUUUGAGUGAGGAGGAGAUUUAGAAGAUUCGAUUAU